rnacentral:rRNA from 1 species
AUACAUGGGAAUCUGCCCAGUCGUGGGGGAUAACGUAGGGAAACUUACGCUAAUACCGCAUGCGCCCUUCGGGGGAAAGCCGGGGACCUUCGGGCCUGGCGCGAUUGGAUGAGCCCAUGUCGGAUUAGCUAGUUGGCGGGGUAAUGGCCCACCAAGGCGACGAUCCGUAGCUGGUCUGAGAGGAUGAUCAGCCACACUGGAACUGAGACACGGUCCAGACUCCUACGGGAGGCAGCAGUAGGGAAUAUUGGACAAUGGGCGCAAGCCUGAUCCAGCCAUGCCGCGUGAGUGAAGAAGGCCCUCGGGUUGUAAAGCUCUUUUGUCCGGAAAGAAAAGCGCCGGGUUAAUACCCUGGUGUCCUGACGGUACCGGAAGAAUAAGCACCGGCUAACUUCGUG